rnacentral:rRNA from 1 species
GACGAACGCUGGCGGCGUGCUUAACACAUGCAAGUCGAACGGAAAGGCCCUGCUUUUGUGGGGUGCUCGAGUGGCGAACGGGUGAGUAACACGUGAGUAACCUGCCCUUGACUUUGGGAUAACUUCAGGAAACUGGGGCUAAUACCGGAUAGGAGAUCCUGCUGCAUGGUGGGGGUUGAAAAGUUGCGGCGGUUGGGGAUGGACUCGCGGAGUAUCAUCUUGUUGGUGGGGUAGUGGCGUACCAAGGCGUUGCCGGGUGGCCGGCCUGAGAGGGUGACCGGCCCCAUAGGGACUGAGAAACGGCCCGGAGUCCUACGGGGGGCAGCAGUGGAGGAUAUUGCACAAUGGGCGGAAGCCUGAUGCAGCAACGUCGCGUGCGGGAUGACUGCCUUCGGGGUGUAAACCGCUUGCGCCUGUGACGAAGCGUGAGUGACGGUAAUGGGUAAAAAAGCACCGGCUAACUACGUG